GAAGGCCACUGCUGGACUCUGCAUAGUUCCUGGCAGGGAGGGGGGUCCGAGAAGGAGGGUUGGUGUAGAGGUCGGUCUCACUGUCACUGUCAGUCCCUGUGGGCUGCAGGGUGAUUCCCCAAGAAGCAGAUGUUAGUGAGGACACUUUUAACGGCUUUAUUGGGUGUAACCCUACGCCAGGCACAGCACUAACUCAUUGGUCCCACAACAGCCUUCUCAUAAGUAUCUCUAUUUUCCAGGUGAGACAACAGAGGCACAGAGAGAUUAAGGAAUCUAGCCACAUUCCCACAGCUGGUAAGUGCCUGAGCUGGGACAUGGAGCUGGUCCCAGAACCCAGCUCCCAACCACGAACCAUUAAAUUUGAAUGUCCAACACUGACUAAAUUCUUUAAGUCGUUCAAUUCUUCUGAUUGGUUGGAAGGUGGUCACACCUUCUUUAUAGAUGGGGACACUGAGGCUCACGGACAGCUGGUGAAUCGCCCACAUGUCCAUACCCACUGAGGGGCAGACCUAGGCUGACCUGGCUCCUGGCGAGCCCUGAGCUCCCGUUUAGCUUUGUGAUGUGCAUCCUCCCCUUCCACUGCCCCCCUUGGAAUUUGGCUGACUUUGAAGUCUGAGCUUUCUCCUGGGCGUGGGAGUCACCCCCUCCCUUGCCUUAACAGAAAGAACAGAUUCUGGGCUCCUCUGUCUAAGCUUUGACCAGCUGGAGCUGGAGGGAGCCCAUGCCAGAGGCUGCUGGAGCCCAGGAAGGAGCCCCGAGCUCACAAUGUGGCCCGGAGGACGAGAGCGUUGAGGGCUCUUUCAGUGGCCACUGCUCCCUUGGGAACCAUAGGACCUGGCCCCGGGUCCUCUGGUUUCCAGGGCAGAUGCCUCCAGCAUACCAAGGAGGCUUGGCCAGCACUGGGCUGGCUCUGCCAGGCUGGCAGGGGAGCUGGGCACUUCCAGGAGGCCUGGCUUCCCCACCUUCCCAUUCCCAUGCCCUGGCUUUGCCCUCCCUGGGAGGCGGGGCAUGGCCUGUGACUGGGACACUCCCCUCCGGUGCCCAGCACUGGCCUUCAGCUCUCUGGUGGGGUGUGGAGAUGUGGGGCAAGAUGGCGAGAUGCUGCUCUUGGAAGACCAUCUGGGAUACGUUCUGUCUUUG
rnacentral:lncRNA from 1 species